rnacentral:lncRNA from 10 species
CACCUGCCUCGGCCUCCCAGAGUGCUAGGAUUCCAGGCAUGAGUCACCAUCCCCGGCCUGUACAGUCUCAUGAUUAUCUUCCAAAGAGUUUUUAAUUUUUUAUUACUUCUGAAACUCGUAAGUUAUAAAAGAAUCAAAGCAUUAUCUGAGAUGUCAGCUAGUCCAAUGACUGUAAACCAGGGUGGUGGAGUGGUAGUGGGUUUAUCUAAAUCACUUCUGAAGCACUUUUCCAAUAACAGCCUCCCUAUCUUCUGGAAGAAUUCUGGUAUGGCAACCAUGUUACAGUGGCAGUGGGAGUGAGGGGGGACGGGAGGUGAGUGAGCACCUGGGUUGUUUGCUAAACUACUUUAGCAAUUAUUGUGAUAGGUACCUACCCCCCAGAAUGCCCCCAAAACAUAUAACUAGUUGAAGACAAAACCAGAGUUUGAUGCAAAAACUCCUGCCAGUUUUAGUCUAGUCUUUUCCUAAUUAUUUUGCUUUGCCCUGACAAUUCAUCUUCAUCUCCAUAAUCCUUAUUAGUUCCAGAUAGAAACUUCCUUUAAUUUACUUAAACUCUGUUCUGGGAGCUCCCCUGCUCUCAUCUUCUACACUUAAAAACAAAUGAACAAAUUAAUGAACAGACAGCAACACAAACAAGCUAAAACAAACGGGCAGAGACGAUCAACUAUACACUGAAAACUCAUUUUCUCAUUUCCUGGCCUGGGGUUAUUGCUGGGGGUCAGCUUCCCAGCCAGGUGCUGCUUUUCUUAGGCCCUUUUGCAUCCAGGGGCAUCCAUGCACUCAUCAGUUAUCAACCACCAAUCAAGCAGCUGUCUUCUUUCCCGUGUCUAAUCAGACAAGGGUCAUCUGUCACAGAACUAUCCAAUCAGCAUUAAGGUGCCGAGUACAAAAGGCUGCUCAAAGAGAGAGUUUUUCUGACCAACAACAUUCUACUUUAUUGAGGAUUUGGAUGUGAGAGAGAUAUAUAUAUGGAAAGCUGACAUUUGGCUGUGGGAGCAGAAGUAAAAAGAGACACGGCGAGACGGACCUGAGGGGUCAUAUUGAAAAUAUUAGACAAUUGAUGUAAUACAGGCACCUGACCAGCACUGACCAAUCAGAGGAAAUUCCAGGUAUAAACAUUUGAAACAUCUUACAGAACCAGUUUCCAGACCCUAUUUAUUGAUGACACUGUCCUCUCCUAAUUGUGUGUAUUUUGCACCUUUUUCAAAAAUCAAUGGACUAUAAAUGGGUUAUAAAGACUGUGACUUCUGCCUUGCUGAUAUUCUCUCUCCCUGGGUCAUCUCCUGUGCUUGCUUUGAUGGAAAGACCUACCAGGAAAGCCUCUUGCAAACAGCCAGCAACAAAGUGAGGUUCUCAGUCCAGUAGCUUGUGAGAAACUGUAUCAUGCUAGCAACCAUGGAGUGAAAUUGGAAGUGGAUGCUACUUCAGUUGAAUGUUAAGAUGACUGCAGCCUGGGCUGACACCGUAAUAACAGUCUCAUGAAGACUCUGAGGCAGAGGACCCACCUAGAUGAACUGUGCCUGAAUUCUUGACCUACAAAAACUGUGAGAUAUUAAAUAUGCAUCAUUUCAAGUUGCUAAGUUUUGCAUUAACAUGUUAUGCAGCAACAGAUAACUAACACAACAGUGUUUAUCUUUUGUAUAAUAAGCAAAACUAAAAAAACUUUUUUUUUUAAAUAAGAAAGAUACAAUGGGAAGGAUAAAUUAGCAGCAAAAAGUCAAGAUGUAUUUGAAAAAUUAUUAUGAAGUGGAUUGAAACUGCAUGACCUGAUUGUCCUUAAUGAUGUCCAAGUAUACAAAUGUAUUUUAUUUUGGCAUAGCCUCAUAAACUCAUAGUAUGAAUUUUCAUACAAAUUUGCUGGAAAUUAGUAAUUCCAAUUUAUAAUAAUUCUUGAAAUAUGUAUAUUUUGAUAUUUUCUGGUGAGAUUUUGGCCAUCAGCUCUAUGAAGCAUUUGUUUUUGCAGGUAUUCUGAACCACAGAAGGCUGACUUGUUCUGCUUCAUAAUGACUUGACUUUGGUCAUUGAAAAAUGCUUGAGCUAAAGGAAGUCCAUAGUCCCUAUUUAUAUUCAGCUUUUACUAAAACACAUUUAUGGCAGAAAUUUAACAAGGAUUUAAGUCUUUGAGAAAAUUUUUUGUUUUAAAGAAUGAAGAAACUACUACACAGUGAUUCUUUUCUUUCACUGAAGCUCCCAAUAAAAAAUAUAUACAAUUUACAAAUUAGGCUUCAAUAUUCCUUUCAUAAGAUCUAACAACUUG